ensembl:lncRNA
AGCAAAUGGUUUCAAGUCAAGAACUCUUGUAACUGAGUAAUGUUAGAAGGAGAAUCCGGGAAAUGACAGGCUAGUCAGUUUUACUUCUGGCCCUGGGAAGGUGAUGGAACAACUUAUUCUGGAUGUCAUCUCCAAGCAAGUGGAAAAAAAAAGUUAUCAGUAGUAGUCAACAUAGAUUCACCAAGGUGUCUGAAGAUACAUGCACUAUGGCAGUUUGAACCUUUGGCUUUUCAUCAUAAAUGAUCUUACAUCUGUGGCCAGGUGGUCUGCUUUUAUGAGGUUCCGAAUGAAAUCUAAUGCCGUUUCCAGCCUCCGUUUUGAGGUUCCUAUCCAUUUGUCAGUCUAAGUAAUGAAGAUGCAACACAUAGGAUGUACUGUCUGAGACUGACGUCUUUAUGUCACAGAUCACUGGAGCAGCUUCAAAGAAACCCUACAGAGAAAAAGAGGAAUGAAGCGUCAUCACCUAUUUUCUUCCUCCUGCCACCCUGCAAAAUGAGAAGUUGCACACUUCUGAAGGAUUACUGCCAGAGGCUACUGCCUCCUCUGGUCUCCCAGUUCAGGUGAUAGUGGAAUCACUUUAAUGCAUAUAAACCAGAUUAGCAUGGAUACAUUAUUUAAUUUUUUUAAAGCAAUCUUGGUUUGUUGUGAUUAAAAAGGCCUCCAACAGUGCAGGUUGGAGACAGAACAGUUGCCUCUGGGGCUGGAGCCAGUAAUUUUUCAGCCAGUGUAACUGCAGCUGGAAGAAGAUUGUGUCUAUGCUAAUGAUAUGACUGUAAAGACUUAGCUCUAGGUUACCUUAAUGCAUAAAUGCAUUCAUGUGUACAGAUUAAAGUCCUUUUCAAAUCUGUACAUGGUUAGGCCUUAGGCUGUGACUAGGACUUGCUGUGUCAAAAAUUCACGGUGGAACAUUCUAAUUGGAACUGCAGUGGUCAUAGGGAAUUAAUUUGAUACAAGUCUUCUCAAAGAUUUUUUUUUUUUGCCAAUGCCCCUCAACUCUGAGCACAAAUUUACUUAGGAAGGGAGGGGAGAAUAUAUAAAGCUACAGAGAUGAAGGACCCUCUGAUACCUCUGAUUGCUCUACUGUGUCCUCCUGUGCAUGUGAUGUGGCUGUAGCCAUGCGGCUCAGUCCUCCUCAUUUAAAGAAGGCAUUGUUAACUUUAAUUUGUUGUGACAAUAUUAGUUUACAGAUGUUGCAGUAUUUAAAAUAUAUGGUGUUCUUGAUAAAUACAGAUAUUGCUGCUCAUUUAGUGGACAAAACUUUUUUUAAGCAGCUUGUCAUCACAUAUAUGCUUUGUUAUUUUUGGUCAUUAAUUUACUUUUAAUAAAGCCAUGAUGUUCU